ACCAUCGGGCAAUCGAGCGCCUUCGGGUGUUAGGAAAGUCCAUGCUAGCACAGACUGAGAUGUCUGUAGUGUUUGCGCUAGACAAACCAAUAAGUCUAGGCACCUUACAGGUGACGGCGGAGAAAUGGAUGUCAAAGGCCAAAGUAUCCAUAAAGUGCCACAGAGACGAGCUUUGGUGAAUAACCAAAGAUGAAACGAGGGUAAACCCCACAAGCUAGAAACCCAAAUUUUGGUAGGGGCACGGCAGGUCGGUAAUUCAACCGAACCAGCUGACGGAGAAAUCCGGAGAUAAAUGAUUGCCACUCCUUCGGGAGAACAGAACAUGGCUUACAGAU
rnacentral:RNase_P_RNA from 2 species